UACGUAGGGUGCAAGCGUUGUUCGGAAUCACUGGGCGUAAAGGGAGCGUAGGCGGGAUCGUAAGUUAGAAGUUUAAUACAUGGGCUUAACCCGUGGCUGGCUUUUAAUACUGCGGUUCUUGAGUGUGGGAGAGGGCGAUGGAAUUCCAGGUGUAGCGGUGGAAUGCGUAGAUAUCUGGAAGAACACCAGUAGCGAAGGCGGUCGCCUGGCCUAACACUGACGCUGAUGCUCGAAAGCUAGGGGAG
rnacentral:rRNA from 1 species